rnacentral:lncRNA from 1 species
UGGAGCAUGAAAAGUAAAUAAUUAAUUAAAGUAGAAGUAUGCACAAAAGUGGAGCAAGAAGCAUGAAAAGGAAACGUAAAGCAUGCAAAGCCAUGCACAAGAGUGAAGCAUGUAAAGUCGUGCACAAGAAUGGAGAGUGGAGCAUGAAGCAUGAAAAGCAAGAUAAUGAAUUAAAGAGUAUGGAGCAUGGUGCAUGAAAAAUCAAAUAACUAAUUAAAGUUGGGGCAUGAAACAUGGAGCAUGAAAUAUGAAGCAUGAAGAGCAUAUAACUAAUUAAAGAGCAUGGAGUAUAGAUUAUGGAGUAUGAAAAGUCAAAUAACUAAUUAAGUGGGAGCAUGGAGCAUAAAGCAUGAAGCACGAAAAGUCAAAUAAUUAAUUAAAGAGCAUGAAGCAUGAAAAGUCAAAUAAUUAAUUAAAGUGGGAGCAUAGAGGAUCAUGGAGUGUGGAGCAUGAAAAGAAAAUAAUUAAUUAAAGAACAUGGAACAUGGAGCAUGAAUGUCAAAUAAUUAAUUAAAAUAGAAGUAUGGAGCAUGG